UUUUUCGUCUUCUACCUGACAAUGUUUGAAUAUAUAUUUAUUUAUAUAUAUUCAAACAUUGUCAGGUAGAAGACGAAAAA
rnacentral:pre_miRNA from 1 species